rnacentral:rRNA from 1 species
AAUGAACGCUGGCGGCAGGCCUAACACAUGCAAGUCGAGCGAGCAUUUCGGUGCUAGCGGCGGACGGGUGAGUAACGCGUGGGAACGUGCCCUUUUCUGCGGAAUAGUCCUGGGAAACUGGGGGUAAUACCGCAUACGCCCUUUUGGGGAAAGAUUUAUCGGAGAAGGAUCGGCCCGCGUUGGAUUAGGUAGUUGGUAGGGUAAUGGCCCACCAAGCCGACGAUCCAUAGCUGGUUUGAGAGGAUGAUCAGCCACACUGGGACUGAGACACGGCCCAGACUCCUACGGGAGGCAGCAGUGGGGAAUCUUAGACAAUGGGGGCAACCCUGAUCUAGCCAUGCCGCGUGAGUGAUGAAGGCCUUAGGGUUGUAAAGCUCUUUCAGCUGGGAAGAUAAUGACGGUACCAGCAGAAGAAGCCCCGGCUAACUCCGUG